UUCGUUGGCGGUCUUCAAAAGGAGAUGCACUGAAUACAAAGAAAGUAUUGAAACCACAAGUAGAAGUAUCCUGGAGAGGGAGAAAACAUAAAUGAGACAUAAAUGAAUUACCAAAACCUUAUUAAAUAAAAGCAAACUAAACAACAUUACUAAAACACGACCUCAGAAUCAACUACAAUUCUUUUUUGUAGUUUUGAAAAUGCUUUCAGAUAAUGUCUAGUUUCAAAAGAAUUUAUACUAAAAUGCAUUUUAGAGGAAUCCAUUUUAGAGAAAUUCUAGUGGAAAAUAAAACAAUGCUUGUUUACAGAAUAAGGCAGCAAAAGCACAGGCAAGAAUCAGGAAGUUGCAGUUGGAAACACUUGAUACUUUGUUACAUUAUUUGUAUCAACAGGAAUGGUCUUUGUAUCGCUGUAAGAAACUGUAUUUCUCCUGUCCUCCUUCCCUUUCUCAAUAGCAAGUCUUGAAUAAACCAUCAGCUACAACUGUAGCCAGUGAAGAUUAUCUCUUAGUCAUUGACAAAUCAGCUUUUCAGCUUCAUUUUUGUAUAAAAUAAUAAUAAUAAUAAUGAAAAAAAAUUAAACUGUAAAAGCUUUUGAGGACUGAAAAUUGAGGUAUUUUCAGAGCUCUGCAACUGGCCUUCAAAAGGAAAUAUAGGUUUACUGCAAUAGGAAAUUAUUUACUCAAAAGUUGAAUUUUGUAUGAAUUGCUUACAUGAGAAUUGCUAGUGGCUUGUUUCUCUUCUCUGCAGCUUUCACAGGCAGCAUAUGUUAUUUCCAGAAACACAGUUUUGAUACAUCUAAAAUUCAGGUCUCUGAAUUGAAGCACAGCAAGUGCACUUCCUGGAGUGGCACGCUAGGGGGGACUUCUUCACAGCUAAAGACGACCGUGGAAAACUACAAUAUAUUCAAAAAUGUCUCGGCCCUUCUUACACCGACACAAGCAAACUGCUUUCCGGUAUACUUAAUUAAACAGCACACCUGCUAAAAAACACAAAGUUCCAUUUGGAGUUCUCAGUGUCAUCUGCCUGUCUCCUUCUGCAGUAUUUUCAGUGUUAAUGAAAUUAGUAAACACUAGAAAGAACUGGAAACAAGAAUAUCUGAAAGAUGAAUCCACCCAAGGAAUGCAGAAGACUUGUGUUAGUGUGCCAAUUCUACCCCAACAAACACACACAAAAAAAUAAACCUGUAUUUCUGAGAGGUACAGAUUUAAUUGAGGCAUCAACUAGAAACAGUACAGUGAAAUGCGUUAAGGUUACAUUUAAUUACACUUAAUUAAGACAACACAGUUUCUGGAUCCGUUAGUGCCAGCCUUGAAUAGCUGUUUAAGAAGAGUGUUGACAAUAUCAGUCAGCAAACUCAUCUAGAAGCUGACUCUGCUCUGAGCUUCAGGACUGUGUCAUUCAUUUCCUUCACGCAGUGCUGACACCAGUGAUUCCACACAGUCUUCUAAGAAUUUACUGUCAUAAUCAACUGCAUCUGGAUGUGAAUCUGUAACCUAGUUACAGAUGCCUGCAAUGCCCUCAGCAUCACUGGUGAAGUUCUGCUUUCCUGCAUCUCAACUGUACCAGUUUUAAAGUUUAACAGGAACCAAAGGAUACUUACACAAAAAGAGCAAUUCCAGUGUUAGCCAUGGCAUAGGAAAGUCCCAGGAUGCCACUGCCCACAAUAGCAUUGCUCAGAUUAAAUACUGACAUCCCAAAGGAAGUGGUACCCGGAUGCUGAGGAAAGGGAGACAGAUAUCACGUCUGGGUACUUACAUACUGAGUUUCAUAUUUCUUCUUUCCGACGUUGGAGUCGAGUAAGAAAUUCUGAUUUUCCGGAUCCAUAUCAGCGUAGUGGCUGUAAAACACAUCGCAUCAUCAGAGUCUGCUUCACACAGACCCUCGCUGCCACUUCCCCCUUCGCAUAUCCGAGAGGAAGAUGACAACACCGGCCCGGGGACCCCGCGGGAGAGCCGCCCACACCGCUCACCU